rnacentral:rRNA from 1 species
AGUGGCGGACGGGUGAGUAACACGUAAGAAUUUGCCUUUAGGAGGGGGACAACAACUGGAAACGGUUGCUAAUACCCCAUAUGCUUUCGAGUGAAAUGGAUUUCCGCCUAAAGAGAAGCUUGCGGCUGAUUAGCUUGUUGGUGAGGUAAUGGCUCACCAAGGCGACGAUCAGUAUCUGGUUUGAGAGGACGAUCAGACACACUGGAACUGAGACACGGUCCAGACUCCUACGGGAGGCAGCAGUGGGGAAUUUUCCGCAAUGGGCGAAAGCCUGACGGAGCAAUACCGCGUGAGGGAUGAAGGCCUAUGGGUUGUAAACCUCUUUUUUCAGGGAGGAAUAAAUGACGUGUACCUGAAGAAUAAGCAUCGGCUAACUCCGUGCCAGCAGCCGCGGUAAGACGGGGGAUGCAAGUGUUAUCCGGAAUCACUGGGCGUAAAGCGUCUGUAGGUGGUUAAAUAAGUCAACUGUUAAAUCUUGAGGCUCAACCUCAAAAUCGCAGUCGAAACUGUUUGACUAGAGUAUAGUAGGGGUAAAGGGAAUUUCCAGUGGAGCGGUGAAAUGCGUAGAUAUUGGAAAGAACACCGAUGGCGAAGGCACUUUACUGGGCUAUUACUAACACUGAGAGACGAAAGCUAGGGUAGCAAAUGGGAUUAGAUACCCCAGUAGUCCUAGCUGUAAACAAUGGAUACUAGAUGUUGA